CACUCCUGCGGGAGGCAGCAGUGGGGAAUUUUGGACAAUGGGCGAAAGCCUGAUCCAGCAAUGCCGCGUGUGUGAAGAAGGCCUUCGGGUUGUAAAGCACUUUUGUCCGGAAAGAAAUCCUUGGCUCUAAUACAGUCGGGGGAUGACGGUACCGGAAGAAUAAGCACCGGCUAACUACGUGCCAGCAGCCGCGGUAAUACGUAGGGUGCGAGCGUUAAUCGGAAUUACUGGGCGUAAAGCGUGCGCAGGCGGUUUGCUAAGACCGAUGUGAAAUCCCCGGGCUCAACCUGGGAACUGCAUUGGUGACUGGCAGGCUAGAGUAUGGCAGAGGGGGGUAGAAUUCCACGUGUAGCAGUGAAAUGCGUAGAGAUGUGGAGGAAUACCGAUGGCGAGGGCAGCCCCCUGGGCCAAUACUGACGCUCAUGCACGAAAGCGUGGGGAGCAAACAGGAUUAGAAACCCUGGUAGUCCC
rnacentral:rRNA from 1 species